GGUGGAUGUAGCUCAGUUGGUAGAGCCCUGGAUUGUGAUUCCAGUUGUCGCGGGUUCGAAUCCCGUCAUUCACCCCAU
rnacentral:tRNA from 1 species